rnacentral:rRNA from 1 species
CCUACGGGAGGCAGCAGUGAGGAAUAUUGGUCAAUGGGCGCGAGCCUGAACCAGCCACGUAGCGUGAAGGAUGACUGCCCUACGGGUUGUAAACUUCUUUUAUAAAGGAAUAAAGUGAGGCACGUGUGCCUUUUUGUAUGUCCUUUAUGAAUAAGGAUCGGCUAACUCCGUGCCAGCAGCCGCGGUAAUACGGAGGAUCCGUGCGUUAUCCGGAUUUAUUGGGUUUAAAGGGAGCGUAGAUGGGUUAGUAAGUCAGUGGUGAAAGUUUGCGGCUCAACCGUAAAAUUGCAAUUGAGACUGGCAGCCUAGAGUACAGGUGAGGUAGGCGGAAUUCGUGGUGUAGCGGGGAAAUGCUUAGAUAUCACGAAGAACUCCGAUUGCGAAGGCAGCUUACUAAACUGCCACUGACAUUGAUGCUCGAAAGUGUGGGUAUCAAACAGGAUUAGAUACCCCUGUAGUC